rnacentral:misc_RNA from 1 species
GCUUUCUCUGUUCCGGUUAAUAGAGAGCGCAGGCGGUGAGAUCACAAUUGACGGCGUAAGAAUAUCUGAUCUGGGACUUCACGAACUGAGGUCAAAAAUUACAAUCUUACCGCAAGGUCAUGGUGCUUGACAGCGGUCACGUGACGGAGUUUGACAGCCCGGAUAACCUGCUGGCCCGUAAGGACAGCCUUUUCUACAGCAUGGCAAAGAACGCGGGCCUGGUCGUUGACAUUCGGGGCGGCAAACCAGUCUCCCCCUUGGUCACCUCAGAACCUCCACGGGACCCCACCAGUCGACCCGGGUCAGCAUCUAGCCAGGAAGGGGUACCCCCACCCGCCUCCCCUGUGGGGCCCCGGCCCAUCUCCCCCAUAGGACCCCCGCUUACCCCUAUCAGUAGAAUGGACAGUCAGGAUACACUGCCGCGCUCAUCAAGCUCAGAAUUUGAGACGAAUGACCAAUCGGGGUCAGCAAACGGAAAGAAAGGCGAAUCCGAGGUCUGAUGACAGGACAACUAGAGAUAAUGGAACCGUCGAGACUUAAUCACUUGUAGACAAUCUAUUCUGUACAGAGAAAGGAAUAAAAUGCAUAAUAUAU